rnacentral:rRNA from 1 species
AUGGAAAUGGGAGCAGCGCCUGCCGGCGCCGGCGGGCUGGAGGUGGUGGUUUUCCCGUGGCUGGCGUUCGGCCACAUGAUCCCGUUCCUGGAGCUCUCCAAGCGCCUCGCGGCCAGGGGCCACACCGUGGCCUUCGUGUCCACGCCCCGGAAUCUCGCCAGGCUCCCGCCCGUGCCGGCCGGUCAUUCCGCCCGCCUCCGGUUCGUGCCGCUGCCGCUACCGGCCGUGGAGGGGCUGCCGGAGGGCGCCGAGGCCACGUCUGACCUGCCGCCCGACAAGGUCGGACUCCUCAAGAAGGCCAUGGACGGCCUCGCCGACCCACUCGCGGCAUUCCUCGCCGCCGGAAAAAGGCCCGACUGGAUCGUCCACGACUUCUGCCACCACUGGGUCCCGCCCAUCGCCGACCAGCUCAAGGUGGCAUCCGCCACGUUCCUCAUCUUCCAGGCCGCCUUCUUGGUCUUCGUGGGGCCGCGGUGGGCAAACGCCUCACACCCGCGCACGGAGCCGGAGCACUUCGCCGAGCCACCCAGGUGGAUUCCCUUCCAGUCCACCACCUUCUUCCUCCGGCACGAGGCCCAGUGGGUCACCGACGCCUUCCGUGCCAAUGCAUCUGGCGUGUCGGACAUGGACCGCUGGUGGCAGGUCUUGGAGCACAGCCGCCUCACCAUACACCGGAGCUGUGAGGAAUUGGAGCCCCGGAUGUUCGGCCUCCUGUCCGAUCUCUUUCGGAAGCCCGCCGUCCCCGCCGGGAUCCUUCUACCGGGGGCGCCCGACGACCGUGACGAAGGCCACCGGCAGAGCAGCUCAGGCGACGUCGCCCGCCCACAGGUCCUGCGAUGGCUCGACGACCAGCCUUCCAAGUCCGUCAUCUAUGUUGCGCUGGGAAGCGAGGCGCCGCUGACGCCAGAGAACGCCCAUGAACUCGCGCUCGGCCUGGAGCUCGCCGGCGUGCGCUUCCUCUGGGCGCUACGCAAGCCGGCGGGCACCACCAACGGCGACGAGCUUCUCUUGCCGGCCGGGUUCGAGGAGCGGACGCGGGACCGCGGGGUGGUUUGCACGGGGUGGGUGCCGCAGGUGGAGGCGCUGGCGCACUGCGCCACGGGCGCGUUCUUGACGCACUGUGGCUGGGGCUCCACCAUCGAGAGCCUCUCCUUCGGGAUCCCGCUGGUGAUGCUCCCGUUCGUCGUCGACCAGCCCUUGAUCGCGCGGGCGAUGGCAGAGAGAGGGAUCGGCGUGGAGGUAGCGAGAGACGUGAAGGACGGUUCGUUUGACAGGGACGGCGUCGCGGUGGCGGUGCGGCGCGUCAUGGUGGAGGAGCAGGGGAAGGUGUUGGCGACCAACACCAAGAAGCUGCAGGAGGUUCUAGUGGACCAGGGACGCGAGGAGCAUUACAUCGACGAGCUCGAGGAUUAUCUCAGACGCUACAAAUAG